CACGUAGGCGGGUUUGUAAGUAGGGGUGAAAUCCCUGGGCUCAACCCAGGAACUGCCUUCUAGACUGCAAGCCUGGAGGUCAGGAGAGGCGAGUGGAAUUCCGAGUGUAGAGGUGAAAUUCGUAGAUAUUCGGAGGAACACCAGUGGCGAAGGCGACUCGCUGGACUGAUACUGACGCUGAGGUGCGAAAGCGUGGGGAGCAAACA
rnacentral:rRNA from 1 species